UCUCAAAGUUGUUGCUCUUGAUCUCAGAGUUUCAGCAUGUCGUACCUUAUUUACAACCAGUAUUUGCUGGUUUAGUUGUUCAUUGGCUGGGGGGCCUGGGCUAAGGUUCUUGUUUCACUGUACUUUAUGGUAAUGACUUGUAAUACAAUAGACUCAUUGAUCAUGAAA